UUUCAGGGAGCCGAGCCAGAGCGGCCGGUCCCCGGCCCGGUCCCGGCCGUAGGUGGCCAGCAGGGCGUGCGCCUC
rfam:Streptomyces cyaneogriseus subsp. noncyanogenus strain NMWT 1, complete genome.